rnacentral:rRNA from 1 species
GACGAACGCUGGCGGCGUGCUUAACACAUGCAAGUCGAACGGAAAGGCCUGCUUUCCCUUGUGGAUUGCGGGUACUCGAGUGGCGAACGGGUGAGUAGCACGUGAGUGAUCUGCCCCCAACUUGGGUAUAAGCCUGGGAAACUGGGUCUAAUUCCCGAUAGGACUGCAGGGUGGUGCCUGUGGUGGAAAACGAUUUUCUAGUGGUUGGGGAUGAGCUCGCGGCCUAUCAGCUUGUUGGUGGGGUAAUGGCCUACCAAGGCGGCGACGGGUAGCCGGCCUGAGAGGGUGGACGGCCACAUUGGGACUGAGAUACGGCCCAGACUCCUACGGGAGGCAGCAGUGGGGAAUAUUGCACAAUGGGCGGAAGCCUGAUGCAGCGACGCCGCGUGGGGGAUGACGGCCUUCGGGUUGUAAACUCCUUUCGACCGCGAGGAAGCCACCUGGUUGGAAGGGUGGUGACGGUAGUGGUAGAAGAAGCACCGGCUAACUACGUG